rnacentral:tRNA from 1 species
GUGGAUAUAGCUCAGUUGGUCAGAGCGAUAGUCUGUGGAUCUAUAAGUCACGGGUUCGAUCCCCGUUAUUCGC